CCGUCGUUCCCGUCUGUUCAUUACCGUUCAUUUCCACCGCUGUAUUUUCGCGCUGUACUAUCUCCACUUCCCGCCUCGGUCGAUCGGAGAUAUAAAUAAGAACAGUUAGAAGAAAAGAUAUUUCGCGCGCGCUUCGGUACGAGUGUGUAGUGUUUUUUUUAAUACUGCCUGAUUUGUUUGUGGCUUACUUGCCGCAGUCCGUCCCACCAGUUUACUGCUAACCGCUUCAGUUUGUGCCGUAUGUUAACGAUUGAGCUGAGCUCACGUUGGUUAUGUAACCAAUAACAAUAACAGGAAUUUAAUUGUGGAGUUCUAUCACGAAUUUGUGGAAUUAUUUUCCCUCGUUUCACUAUCAAAGCAAACUCUGAAGUGUGUGUCUUCUGGAUGUCACUGUUGCGGCGAAUAAAGAGCGAGGCUACUGCGUUCCAUCAUGGGGAGCUGAAAAGUAAAUAAUUGUGCUGAUUGAACUGCUAAUGCGAGCCAAAAAGUGUAUGUGUGCGUGCUUCGAUGGAUAUUUUCGUGUGACACUUGUGCGUAUCGCCGGAAUUUGUAGUGCACUUGUUUGAGAACACAUCCAAAACGCCAUAGUAGGAACUAGGUUACUGUGGAAGAGAUAACCCGAUAGUAACAAGGCUGUGACUGUCCGUGAUUGUGGGAAUAUUGAGUGCUUAAAUCGAAGUUUUCUGCAAGAAAAAAAACAAAAUGACAGCGAGCAAAGUACAAUCUCGCCCGAAAAGUUUCCUGACGUCGUCGGCAGCGACUCCACGCAACAGUGCCUUCGCGGCCUACAGUAAUCCGGAGCAGUUGCGGCGUAACGUCGGCGGAACCAAACGGUGUCUGUUCGGUAAACCGGACCCCGCUGAAACGAAAAGACUGGAAGAAAAAACCAACCAACAAAACCGCCAACAUUACAUGGAACGAUAUGGGUUUGACAUCGCAACCGGACAACCUGUGAACCAUUCGAUCUCAUCUUAUUCGUCCUCUUCAUCGUCCUCCACGUCACGGUGCAGUCCCACCAGGGAAUACUGCAGGCCCAACGAGAACACCAACAAACGGCUGUGCAAAGAUGAGCCCAAGAAGUCGUACGUGAGCAAUAGCAGCAGAAAUUAUUCAUAGAUCUGUGUCUCAUCGGGUGCGACGAAGCCAAGGUCUUCACAACAAGCAACAGACACACAUGGGAUCCGGAUGCCAUUUUCUAGCCACCCGUGUCGAUUUGCAGUCUUUCCAAGGAAUCUCUCAACUGCAAAUCCGUGUGGAACAAACUCUCAAACGAACCAUGCAAUAAUCAACUUAGCGGAAGUUCUGGACUCCUUGAAUCAUUUGAUGAAAUGUUGAAACAAAAAUAUCCGCAGUUUAGUUUAUGUUAUCUUUACCAAUGUAAAUUGUUUUUUUCUUCUUCCAAGAGACAAGAUGAGACAACUGACUUUUAUUGUUUAUUUCCAUUAAAAUAUGCGGAACGAUACAUCCACGUAACUUAAAGCAAUCUUUCACCAGAACACUCAGUUUUCCUGUCUUGUCCGAGAUAGCUAAGAUUAUUUUUUCAUAUGUAUACCACUAUAAUUUCACAAACCAUCAAGUCUACAGUACGAGAAACAUCGAUACUAUAGCUAAAAUCAGUCCUACGAAAAAGAAAUAUAUUCUCACGAACCAGGUGAAGACCUUCUACCGGAUUCCUGACACCAAGCAGCAGCCGUCGGGGGAGGUCCAUUUAUUUUCUUAUUUAAUAAUAAACAGCUAAUUUUGUGAUAUGAAAGAGAAAGAGAUCAUGUAAUGAUUUUUGCGUACAGGCGAAAUCAAACAAAACCUUUAUUUUGUGCACCACUCCAGCAGGAAAGAAAAAAAAACAAAAACCCCAAGCACAAGAGGAAAACAAACUCAAAGUUCUUUCAUUGUUAUAAUAUUUUAUAGCAAAUUUUGUUGAGUAAGGACGAAAUUCACCAUAUUUGAGUAGUGUUUAAGUAAAGUAGAGCAAUCGUUAACGUUUUUAAAGCCACUUUCAUGAAAAGUACCGAAUGCAAAGGGGUUGACGAACAACAACACAUUUCUUCCCUUCUUUUAUUUCUUCUCCUUUUUGUUUAGUUGAACUCAGUUAGAGAAACAAAAAAGUUUGAUCUCAUAAUUUAAUUAUUACCUGUUUUUUUUAAACGUUGAUAAUGAUUAGACAUUAACGAUAUGGCUAAGAUAAGCAUAGAUUGCAUUUGUACCCUGGAAAAUAAUCACGAUGAAAACUGCGCCGUACUAAAGAUUGAAACGUAUUUUUUUUUUUCGAAAAACAAAUAAUACCAGCACAUUUUAUAACUCUAAUUUAACGUAUGUUAUAUGCAGAAAAUGGCAUUGCCAUGAUACAAGUUACGAACAAUUUCACAUUGAACCUAUAUUCAUCUUCCGAAGAAACAACUCUAAAGAAUUACGUGCCUUAUCUAAGCUUCCGAUAGAUUAUUUAAGGAUACAACGAUAGCUGUUUUUUGCAAUAAAUCAGUAUGAUGUAUAAGA